GGAGAGGUGUCCGAGCGGUCGAAGGAGCACGCCUGGAAAGUGUGUGUACGUUCAAAAGGCGUACCGUGGGUUCGAAUCCCACCCUCUCCGCCA
rnacentral:tRNA from 1 species